rnacentral:rRNA from 1 species
UACGUAGGGGGCAAGCGUUGUCCGGAUUUAUUGGGCGUAAAGAGCUCGUAGGCGGUUCCGUAAGUCGAGUGUGAAAAAUCUGGGCUCAACCCAGUGGAGCACUCGAUACUGCGGUGACUGGAGUACGGUAGAGGAGUGUGGAAUUCCUGGUGUAGCGGUGAAAUGCGCAGAUAUCAGGAGGAACACCGACGGCGAAGGCAGCACUCUGGGCCGGUACUGACGCUGAGGAGCGAAAGCGUGGGGAGCGAACAGG